rnacentral:rRNA from 1 species
UACGUAGGGACCGAGCGUUGUCCGGAUUCAUUGGGCGUAAAGAGCUCGUAGGCGGCUAUUCAAGUCGAACGUGAAAUCUCGGAGCUCAACUCCGAAACUGCGUUCGAUACUGGGUAGCUAGAGUCUGGUAGGGGGAUCUGGAAUUCCUGGUGUAGCGGUGGAAUGCGCAGAUAUCAGGAGGAACACCGGUGGCGAAGGCGGGAUCCUGGGCCAGUACUGACGCUGAGGAGCGAAGGUCAGGGGAGCAAACGGG